CCUANGGGAGGCAGCAGUGGGGAAUCUUGGACAAUGGGCGCAAGCCUGAUCCAGCCAUGCCGCGUGAGUGAAGAAGGCCUUAGGGUUGUAAAACUCUUUCGCCGGAGAAGAUAAUGACGGUAUCCGGAGAAGAAGCCCCGGCUAACUUCGUGCCAGCAGCCGCGGUAAUACGAAGGGGGCUAGCGUUGUUCGGAAUUACUGGGCGUAAAGCGCACGUAGGCGGGUUUGUAAGUAGAGGGUGAAAUCCCAGGGCUCAACCCUGGAACUGCCUUCUAAACUACAAGCCUGGANGUCAGGAGAGGCGAGUGGAAUACCGAGUGUAGAGGUGAAAUUCGUAGAUAUUCGGUGGAACACCAGUGGCGAAGGCGACUCGCUGGACUGAUACUGACGCUGAGGUGCGAAAGCGUGGGGAGCAAACAGGAUUAGAUACCCGANUAGUC
rnacentral:rRNA from 1 species